rnacentral:rRNA from 1 species
UACGUAGGGUGCAAGCGUUGUCCGGAAUUAUUGGGCGUAAAGAGCUCGUAGGCGGUUUGUUGCGUCGGCUGUGAAAUCCCGAGGCUCAACCUCGGGUCUGCAGUCGAUACGAGCAAACUAGAGUGUUGCAGGGGAGACUGGAAUUCCUGGUGUAGCGGUGAAAUGCGUAGAUAUCGGGAGGAAUACCGAUGGCGAAGGCAGGUCUCUGGGCUAUAACUGACGCUCAUGCACGAAAGCGUGGGGAGCAAACAGG